GCGACCGGCGCACGGGUGAGUAACACGUAUCCAACCUGCCGUCUACUCUUGGACAGCCUUCUGAAAGGAAGAUUAAUACAAGAUGGCAUCAUGAGUCCGCAUGUUCACAUGAUUAAAGGUAUUCCGGUAGACGAUGGGGAUGCGUUCCAUUAGAUAGUAGGCGGGGUAACGGCCCACCUAGUCUUCGAUGGAUAGGGGUUCUGAGAGGAAGGUCCCCCACAUUGGAACUGAGACACGGUCCAAACUCNUACGGGAGGCAGCAGUGAGGAAUAUUGGUCAAUGGGCGAGAGCCUGAACCAGCCAAGUAGCGUGAAGGAUGACUGCCCUAUGGGUUGUAAACUUCUUUUAUAAAGGAAUAAAGUCGGGUAUGGAUACCCGUUUGCAUGUACUUUAUGAAUAAGGAUCGGCUAACUCCGUGCCAGCAGCCGCGGUAAUACGGAGGAUCCGAGCGUUAUCCGGAUUUAUUGGGUUUAAAGGGAGCGUAGAUGGAUGUUUAAGUCAGUUGUGAAAGUUUGCGGCUCAACCGUAAAAUUGCAGUUGAUACUGGAUAUCUUGAGUGCAGUUGAGGCAGGCGGAAUUCGUGGUGUAGCGGUGAAAUGCUUAGAUAUCACGAAGAACUCCGAUUG
rnacentral:rRNA from 1 species